rnacentral:lncRNA from 1 species
ACACACGGUUGGAGGUUCUGCUUGGAGUCACACGGCACACAAGAUUGCUGUCAAGAAAGCCUGUCCAUAAAUAGUGGCUGUACACCCUCCUCACUUACAAUUCAGGGAAAAGAAGAGCGGGGAAGGAAAGGAGGAAAAACAACAACAACAAAAGCCACGACAGAGAACGGGAAAAGGCAGAGACUGAAAGCGAAGGACCGUCGGAGGAGGAGGGCGAGAGACAUUUAUGCAGUGUGUGAUUCUUUCUAAAACAACUCCCUGGAAGAGAGGACAUUUAAUUCAACAAUUUAUUGGCCACCUACUGUGCACCAGGCAGUGAACUUGGAACUGGGGCUACUGGGUUACAGCAGUGACCAAGACAGAGGUCCCUGUUCUUAAGGAGCAAGUGAGGGCAACAGAAAAGAGCAGGUAAACAAAUAAGAUAAUUUCAGAUAGUUGUGACUGCUAUAAAGAAAAUAAAGCUGGGCUGGGUGUGGUGGUUCACGCCUGUAAUCCCUGCACUUUGGGAUGCCAAGGCGGGAGAAUCGCUUGAGCCCAGGAGUUUCAGACCAGCCUGGGUAACAUAGAGAAAUCCCACCUCCACAAAAAUUCAAAAAUUAGCCGGGCAUGGUAGCAAGCACCUGUCAUCUCAGCUUCUGGGGAGGCUGAGGUGGGAAAACGCUUAAGCCAGAGAUUUUGAGGCUGUAGUGAGCUAUGAUGGUGCCACUGCACCCCAGACUGGGUGAUGGAAAGAAGGGAGGGAGGGGCUGGGCAAGGUGGCUCACAUCUGAAAUCCCAGCGCUUUGAGAGGCUGAGGUGGGCAGAUGCUUGAGCCUAGAAGUUCAAGACCAGCCUAGGCAACAUGGCAAAAGCCUGUCUCUACAAAAAAUACAAAACAGCCAGGUGUGAUGGCCUGUGCCUUUAGUCCUAGCUACUUGGGAGGCUGAGGCAGGAAGAUCGUUUGAGCCCGGGAAGUUGAGGCUGCAGUGAGCUGUGAUCGUACCACUGCACCCCAGCCUGUGGGACAGAGUGAGACCCUGUCUCAAACGACAAUGAAAAGAAAACAAGGUAAUGAGAGAGUGAGUGACUGGGACGGGGGAUGAUAGAGAUGGGGGAGAGUUUAGAUCUCAAGAUGACGAAGAACCAUCCAUGUAAAACAUUCCAGGCAGAGGAAACAGCAAGUGCAAGGGACUGGAGAUGGGAAGGAGACUGGGACGAGGUAUUGAGAGGGCAUGGAUAGGUGCCAAGACCAGAGAUGGGGGAGUGUACAUGAGGAAUACGAUGCGUUUAUGUUGAGCUGGAGCUGAAGGGCAAUACGGUAGUUGGUCCUCAGAAGCCAAGUUAUGGAGUUCCCUGGGUUGUGGGGAGCCAGGGACAGUUUUUUUAUUGCAGGAUGACAUGAUCAGAGGUACGCUUCAGCAAGAUUAAGGAGUUUCAUGUGUUGUAGUUGGAUUGGAGGAGGGAAAUUUGGGGGGAAAGAUCAGCUGGAAAUUUUCUUGUGUUUCAAAAACAUGUUCACAAAUUCUUUUUUUUUUUUUCUUUUUGAGAUGGAGUCUUGCUCUGUCACCCAGGCUGGAGUGCGGUGGCGCCAUCUCGGCUCACUGCAAGCUCCGCCUCCCGGGUUCACGCCAUUCUCCUGCCUCAGCCUCCCCAGUAGCUGGGACUACAGGCGCCUGCCACCACGCCCUGCUAAUUUUUGUUGUAUUUUUUUAGUAGAGACAGGGUUUCACCGUUUUAGCCAGGAUGGUCUCAAUCUCCUGACCUCAUGAUCCGCCCCCCUCAGCCUCCCAAAGUGCUGGGAUUACAGGCAUGAGCCACUGCGCCCGGCCCUUCACAAAUUCUUUAAUGUUCCUUCCUUCAAAAGGAAGAGCCUAAUUCCUCCUCCCCUUCCCAGUUAAGUGUGAACUUGCCUCUAACUAAUAGAAUAUGGCAGAAGUGAUGGUUUGUGAUAUCUAAGAUUGGACAUAGAAAGCUCUAUGUUUUCCUCCUGGCUGUCUUAUUUUGUAUCAUUUAUUCUGGGAGAAGUCAGCUGUCAUGCGAGGGCACUCAAGCAGCCCUGUGGAAAGCUCUACGUGGUGAGAAACUGAAGCCUCCUGCCAACACCAACAAGGAACUGAGACCUACUUCCAACAGCCAUCUGAGUGAUCGAUCCAUCCUGGAAUCAGAUCCUCCAGCCCCAGUCAAGUCUUCAGAUGACUGCAGCCCUGACCAGCAUCUCAACUGCAACCUCGUGAAUGACCCUGAGCCAGAACCAUGCAACUAAACUCUGCGUGGAUUCAUGACCCACAGAAACUGUGAGAUGGUAGCUGUUUGCUUUGUUAAGCCUCUAAGUCUGGAAAGAAUGUCUUAAGCAGUAGCAGACAAUGAACACAAGAUUAUUAUUCAGCUGUUGAAUUGGAAGAGGAGGGGAAGAAAAAAUUUUCAGAUCACAAAAUAUUCAU